GUGUGUAAAAGAUAAAGUAUGCACUCACAAUUUAGGAAUUAGGUACAGUGUUCAUUAAUUUUGCACGGUUCUUGUACCGUUUGUUUUAUAAGAAACAGGAAGUUCUUGCAAUUCAUGAGCUUGAUUUCAAGUAUGGUGAGGGGAUAUCUGUUGGUCAGGCUAUUUCUAUAUAAUUUCUAUCCCUUUUAGAUUUACAUAUUUUAACAUUAAUGUUCCGUCUAGAUGCACACACUUUGUUGUGAACCUACAAGUCAUCUAAGUCUUAAGGGCAUACGAUACAGUU
rnacentral:lncRNA from 1 species